rnacentral:rRNA from 1 species
AGAGCGAACGCUGGCGGCAGGCUUAACACAUGCAAGUCGAGCGGGCGUAGCAAUACGUCAGCGGCAGACGGGUGAGUAACGCGUGGGAACGUGCCUUUCGGUUCGGGAUAACCCAGGGAAACUUGGGCUAAAUACCGGAUACGCCCUCCGGGGGAAAGAUUCAUUGCCGAAAGAUCGGCCCGCGUCGGAUUAGCUAGUUGGUGGGGUAAUAGCCUACCAAGGCGACGAUCCGUAGCUGGUCUGAGAGGAUGACCAGCCACACUGGGACUGAGACACGGCCCAGACUCCUACGGGAGGCAGCAGUGGGGAAUAUUGGACAAUGGGCGCAAGCCUGAUCCAGCCAUGCCGCGUGGGUGAAGAAGGCCUUAGGGUUGUAAACCCCUUUCAGCGGGGACGAUAAUGACGGUACCCGCAGAAGAAGUCCCGGCUAACUCCGCGCCAGCAGCCGC